rfam:Schistosoma haematobium scaffold553_28, whole genome shotgun sequence.
AGACUAAUGAAUUCGUAACGAGAGUUCAUCAGACACCAGACCAUCAGUACUGAUGAGACUCCCAAGAUAAGUGAAGCG